GACGAACGCUGGCGGCGUGCUUAACACAUGCAAGUCGAACGGAAAGGCCCCUUUGGGGGUACUCGAGUGGCGAACGGGGGAGUAACACGUGAGUAACCUUCCCUUGACUUCGGGAUAACUUCAGGAAACUGGGGCUAAUACCGGCUAGGAAUCCUUGCUGCAUGGUGGGGGUUGGAAAGCUUCGGCGGUUUUGGAUGGACUCGCGGCGUAUUAGCUUGUUGGUGGGGUAGUGGCUUACCAAGGCGUUGACGGGUAGCCGGCCUGAGAGGGCGACCGGCCACAUUGGGACUGAGGUGCGGCCCAGACUCCUACGGGAGGCAGCAGUGGGGAAGCUUGCACAAUGGGCGGAAGCCUGAUGCAGCAAGGCCGCGUGCGGGAUGACGGCCUUCGGGUUGUAAACCGCUUUCAGCAGGGGCGAAGCUUGUGGUGACGGUACCUGCAGAAGAAGCACCGGCUAACUACGUG
rnacentral:rRNA from 1 species